UACCAUGACAGACCCUGGCUUUUAAACUUUACAUUGGUAACAAUCUGGAAGGUCCUUCUCUUCUUUGGCUCAGAGAACAUGACAUCCAUUAUUUUCAUAAACAAACAAACAAACAAACAAACAAACAAACAAACAAACAAACAGU